UAUACGAUAAUGACAAAUCAGAUUUUUUCUCCUGAUUUUUAGCUUUUUCCUCCUUAAAACAUUCAAAUCCAACUAAAAAUGCUAAAAAUCAGGAGAAAAAACCUGAUUUGUCAUUCUACUAUU
rfam:Gossypium raimondii Chr04_contig_425, whole genome shotgun sequence.